AACAAACACCCUUAACAACUCACUACUAAACCCAAGAACAACAGGACAUAUUCACAAAUUAUAGGUGUUCAGAUAAGCCAAAUUAUGCAUGAAACCCUGACAACACUGCUCAGCGCGCAUCUGCGCUGUGAAGACAGUUACUUCAUUUUUGUAUUCUGAAUGCUCUACUGAUGGAAAUGAAUGACUUCCGAUCUAUCAUCUGUUGUUUGUCAGAUGCAGUGAAAAGGCGGCUUUAUGAAUUUCACCUGGCAGACGAAAAAUGACUUACAAUGAAGGAGGGACCCAAGAUACUGAGAGAUCAGGAUAUCACAGAGACCAAAAAUCACCCAGAACACCCUGGCCUAGUUUUUCAUGUGGAACUAUUGACGUGAAGGAUUUUAUUAACAUUGCUGACAUUUUGUCCACACAAAAACACUAAAACUGGACAAACACACACGUGUCUCUUACCUUCAUGAGGUCAAGCAAGACAGGGCUGAUGAUUCCAAGAUAUCUCCUCUCCAGAGUCUGGGGAUGACUUACUGAGGGAAACUACACACGCACACACAAAAUCAGCAGAGACAGACGAGGUAGAGUUUCCCCCGCCGCCGAAACGCCUCCUUCAGCUCUACGAUGUUUUCCUGCUUGAGCGUACGGAGCAUCUUCAGCUCCCGCAUGGUCGUCUCCUUCACCUCCUCAUUUUCUGAAUCGAGAGAAAAACCGAUCGACAGAUAAAGGACAGCAGGACGUGAGUUUGCAGACUUCACCUCCUGAUCUAUGGCUAAAACACGUGUCUGCUCACCGUCUGUUUCUGGGUUCAGUCCCCAGAGUGAGAAACACAGAAUGAGAACACGGAAAGAGGGCAAGGGGGAAAAUGUCGCAGAGAGAAGACUAGUGUGACACUAGAACCAAAGACCUGCAGUUCUUCUGAUAUAAUCAGCACACCUGAUUGCUUAGAGAGAUGAAUAUACUAACUAUUGCCAAAUAAACUAUACUUGAUGCCUAAAAGAUCAUGUGUAAUUUCAGGAAAUGGCCAAACAAGCCCAAAGCUGAGAGAUGGAGUUCAUACAGUACCAGUCAAAAGUUGACCGAAUUUAUGUGUCUCAUGGGCAUAAAGACCUUUGUAUGCUUGAAAUUAGUUUAGUAGACAAAGACUUUGAUGUUAAGAUUUUCAGUGAAUAAAGACUUUGAAUUCGAAUUACGUUCUGUUCCUCACAGCUAUCGCACAGUUUCAGAAGACAUGGACUAUAGUGCACAAGUCACAUGGACCACAUUUAUAAUACCUUUAUGGUGCUUUUUCG